UCCCAGGUGGCUCAAUGGUAAAGAAUCUGCCUGCAAUGCAGGAGCUGCAGGAGACCCGGGUUUGAUCCCUGGACUGGGAA
rnacentral:tRNA from 1 species